UGUAGCAGGUCGUGUGCUUAGGCUCCUUGGGAAAAUUUUUACUACCAGUUAUCUUAUCACAGGCAACCAUUAAAAAUAGAUCUUUUUUAAGCAUAGCGCACACACACACACACACACACUCACACACACACACACACGCACGCACGCACACACACACACACACACACACACACACACAGGCUAUCUAAUCAACAUGCAAAUAAUUUUGCGCAUUGAUAUUGCAACGUGAAAAAGUGUCAAUAAUAAUAUUAUAUAUUUAAUUUAUAAUUAUAUAUUUCUACCUUUUCUAAUUCGGGGAUUCGUCCAACGUGAUUUCUAAACGACAUCACAGAUCACUAUAGCACGACCAGAGUAAUCCACUAUUACAUAUUAUAUACUAAUGUUUGAAAAUAGUCAACAUUUUGCUUUUGUUAUUGGUAGAGUUUUUUUCAUUCCGUUUCCAUAAAUAUCCCGAUGUAUCAAACAGAUUUUUACAAAUGAUUCUGAUUCUAAAGAAAACGUCGCAAAGAAAAUGUUAAAGAAUUAAACAAUGAUAGUUAAUAACGAUCUUUGGUGGGAAGAUGGCUGCAGUAGUUGUGUAUUUUUAUACGAUACGUAUUAGGCACCUAUAAUAAAAAUGUCACUUUUAAAUGGGUUAAAAGCACGAGCAUGACCAAAUUCCAAGAAAAACCGUACACCGUAUUUAGAAAUAACAUGAAAAGUUACUGAAUAUAUAUGGGGGCAAUGUGCCCAGGGUCGGAUUUAAGCAUGAUGAUUGGGUGACUGGUGCUCGCAGUGGUUUAAUUGGUUUCUCAUUACAGUUCAUUCACUUUGAGUUUUUUAAUGAUUGAAGUAAGUCUGUGUGUGUGUGUGUGUGUGUGUGUGUGUGUGUGUGUGUGUGUGUGUGUGUGUGUGCGCGCGCUAUGUGCUGGGCACUUAUUACAGCAUAUUAAGCUAUUAUUAUGCAGAAUAAAAUUGUGUGUGAAAUAUAAAAGUUAUGUAUAUCUUUUUGUAGCCUAUUAUCGGAAAAAUGUUGAAAUCGUGCAUGCAUGUCAUCGUCGUUUUGUGGUAGCUUUUUCCCCUCUUUUUUUUUUUGGGGCGGCACAGGCGCCUUCCUAUUCUAAUUGCAUUGUAAAUAUGCAUCACCAUGAUAAUGGAGUCGCGCGCAGGCGUAGCCCCGCCGCUCACGUGCGCUUCACAACUUCGGGCCCUCUCACUGCGUGUAGAUGGAGGACGGGGUCAGGGGAUAAACUAGCUUACAAAGUAAAGUUCAGUUUCGUCUCGGUAACGUAACGAAGAGACGCAAACUGGUCUUGUCCCGAAAUGAUGCACGAGUCGAGAAACGCGCGUGCAUAUAGGACAGCACGUGUCUCGAGCCGCUUGGGAUGAAAAUCUUUACGCGUGCCAGUCUGGCCACUUCUAUUGGGUGCCACCUCAGCUGAGCAGCUCGGAGCAAAGGUGCACGAGCUGAAGAGCGCUUACACACACCCCCAAAACACGAAAAAAGUUCCGGAGAUGCGUGUUGUCUCGAGUGUCUGCGUGCAAAAGGUAGAUUAUUAAUGUGCGGAGGAGACUGAGCGCUGGUUUUAAGGCGCGCGUGGACUACCGGAGUGGGGAAGCACCCGUAAUGAGCUAAGUAUUAGCGGCAAUUUUGAACCGCACGCGCACCGGGUGGACUCGAUAGUGAGACGGCGUUUUGCGCACCGGGAUCGGAUACCGAAGGUUGGACAGACGCGUGGACAGACAGAAAAUGCUGGAUAAUAUGACCAUAACUGACCACUGGAAGAGAGUGAGGCUGAAAUGGAGAUGUCUGCUUUAUUCUGCAAUAAAAUCCAGCAUAAGGUGAGAAGAGAUGGCAGACAGGGGUCAAAGAAGAGAUGGCUUGCUCACUGUGCUGAGAGUAAAGGUGCAGAUCGGAUGAUGACUUCAACCUAUUUAUAAAUAUGUCCUGAAUCUAAGGGCCACAUCUUCAUCGUCAUCUGGAUGGGUGGACUCUUCUUUAAAAGUUUUCCGGAUUAUGUGUAUAGGUUUGUGAAGUGCGAACCAUACAAAAUAGCAGCCGGAGCCGAAGUAAAUCCACAGUGGCAUCUGGAUUAACACAAGAUACAUGACUUGAAUGUUUUAUACAAGUGAAUUCAAUAUACAAUGUAUGAUUUUACUGCCUUCUGCUUGUACAAAUAUUUUGGAUCAAAAAUGACUUGAAUAUGUUUGCACUAUGAAGUACAAUAAAUUGUUCAUUUUUCUAGA